GACGAACGCUGGCGGCGUGCUUAACACAUGCAAGUCGAACGGAAAGGCCCUGCUUUUGUGGGCUGCUCGAGUGUCGAACGGGUGAGUAACACUUGAGUAACCUGCCCUUGACUUUGGGAUAACUUCCGGAAACUGGGGCUAAUACCGGAUAGGCGCUCCUGCUGUAUGGUGGGGGUAGGGAAGUUUCGGCGGUUGGUGAUGGACUCGCGGCUUAUCAGCUUGUUGGUGGGGUAGGGACUUACCAAGGCUGUGACAGGUAGCCGGCCUGAGAGGGUGACGGGACAAAUAGGGACUGAGAUACGCACAAGACAAAUACGGGCAGCAGGGGUAGGGAAGGUUGCACACGGGGCGGAAGAAAGAUGGAGCAAGGCAGCGUGCGGGAGGACAGCCUUAGGGUUGUAAACCGCUUUCGCCUGAGAGGAAGGGGGAGUAAGGGUAAUGGGUAAGGAAGCACCGCCAAACUAGGU
rnacentral:rRNA from 1 species